rnacentral:rRNA from 1 species
CGUUCGGGGGUAAACGAACAGAGCCCGUGAAUCCGGGCGCGCGGAAUUCAGGACCGACGGCCGGGCGCGCUUCGCGGCUCGCUCGGUCGUCGAUUCGAUAUUUCCGCCGCCGACCCUCAACCGAGGGUGUCGGACGUCGCGACCCGUUCGCCCGUCGAUGCUCAGGAGCGCGUUUCAAGUUCGUUUGCGCGGCCGUUUCGGCGGUCGCGCGGCGAUGGCGCGUUUCCGCUGCGUCGGCGCGGACGGUAGCUUUGCGCGCGGGUAAUCGGCGCGGUCCUUCGCCCGGCGUCUCGUACGUCGGGCGGCGCUCGCGUCGACGCCGGUCAGCGACGAAUUUCGGGCCUCUUUUCGACCCGUCUUGAAACACGGACCAAGGAGUCUAGGGUGCGCGCGAGUCGCGGGGUAUCCGAGGGGUUGUAGCCGUUUCGGCGGCGAACGCCUCUCGUCACGAUACGAAACCCGUGUACGUACGUUGUGCGAAGGCGUAAUGAAAGUGAAAGGCGACGCUUCGCGCGUCGCCGGGGGAAGACGGUGUACCGUGUACACGUUCCGCGGUCGCAUAUGUACCGCGGCCGGACACCCGCAUUCCCAGGGCGUCCCGUCCGUACGUCGGCGACGCGGACGGCGGUCUCGCGGCCGUCGUCGGUCGUCGGCGAACUGGGGCGCACCUACAGCGUGCACCCUGGUACCCGAAAGAUGGUGAACUAUGCCCGGCCAGGAUGAAGUCAGGGGAAACCCUGAUGGAGGUCCGCAGCGAUUCUGACGUGCAAAUCGAUCGUCUGAGCUGGGUAUAGGGGCGAAAGACUAAUCGAACCAUC